CGCGGCCUUUUGCGCAGGCGCUGAAUCAGCACGGGAUGUGUAGUUUCUUGAGUCCCGAAGGAGAUUCAACUCUGUUGUCGAUGAGCUACGAUUCCCGUCAGCCAGUUGCGAGGAGGAGCAGGGGAGCGGCCCGGAGCAAGCAACGCAUUCCAGGGGGUUUUCGACUGGGAGCAAGAGGACACACAGCCUAGCGACGCUAGCCCUCGAUCGCGCCCGCUUUCGACCCAGAGCAUCCUGGGAGUUGUAGUUCUAGCCUGGCGUGGAACCCCAAGUGCUUCCUGGAGCUUGGACGCACCUUUGGAAUGAUUUAUGGCAAAGUGAAAAAGGCUGUCCUUUCUGGGCUUAAGCUGAUAUUUCUCAGUUUGUUGAUUUACUUUAAUUGGAGGACAAUCACUUCACAACAAGGUGGUGCCCCUGCCACACAGGGAUCAGCCACAGGCGCACGGUUGCACCCCCGCCCCACCAUCCUGAUCUCACUGAGUUCUCUUUGCCAUGAGACACCAGGAACCUGAGCUUCAUUAGGUCCUGAAACCAGGUGUGUCAUCUCAGUUGGAAAGCUGUGGGUUUGAGUCCCAAGCAGGGUUUUGACUGGGUUCAAAUCCCAAUCUGAGGUGAAUGGUUUCACCUGUAUUUACUGAAUAUUUUGUGCUAAGUUCUGUAUGUGGAUCACUGCAUUUAAUGCUUGUGAGAACAUCCUAUUCCUAUGAGAAAAGGAUGAAUUAUGAGAACUAUGAAUUCAUUUACAUAUUUACAGUCUGUGUGCUCAGUUGUUCAGCUGUGUCCGACUCUUUGCAACCCCAUGGACCGUAGUCCACCAGGCUCCUCUGUCCAUGGAAUUUUCCAGGCAAGAAUACUGGAGCAGACUGCCGUUUCCUACUCCAGGGGGAUCUCCCCAACCCAGGGAUUGAACCCACAUCUCCUGCAUUAGCAGGUGGAUUCUUUACCACUGUGCAACCUGGGAAGCCUACAUAUCCACAGUAUGGUUUUCAAAAUAAAAGUAACAUUGAAAUAAUCUAGAAACUUUCUAUAGAGGUGUUAUCAGUUGUUCUGAUAAUACCCUGAAUAGCAAAAGAAAAUUCAAAAUCAUAAAUGUUGUGUUCUUAGACAUCUUAAUCCAGAAGAGUUGCUGAUUCUUUGUAAUUCAUGGCAUUACCAUCUUUGAAGAGUACAAGCCAUUUAUUUUGUAGAAAGUCCCUCAAUGUGGGUAUGUCUGAUGUUUCAUCAUAUUUUUAAAAUGCAGGUUACACAUUUUUGGCAGGAGGAUCAGGGAAGUGAUACAUGUUCUCCGUGUACAGUAGGAAGAGAUACGUUCUGCACGGUAGUUCCAUUACUGCCAACACUGACUUUGAUCUGAUUCUGAUCAUUUGGUUAAGAAGGAGUCAACCAAUUUUCUCAUGAAAUUUCUAGUUUGUGAAAGUGUGAAAGUGUGUGUUGCUCAGUGAUGUCCAACUCUUUUCAACCCCGUGGACUAUAGCCCACCACGCUCCACUGUCCAUGAAAUUCUCCAGGCAAAAAUACUGGAAUAGGUAGCCAUUCCCUUCUCCAGGGGAUCUUCCCAACCCAGGGGUCGAACCCAGAUCUCCUACAUCACAGGCAGAUUCUUUACCAUCUGAGCCACCAGGGAAGCCCUACUCUUUUAUACAUGAGCACCUAAAUUGUUGCCAGUGUUUUGUGAUCACAAACCAUGCCGCAAUGAGUAACCAGGUGCAUACAUAUUUUCAUAUUUGUUGGAGUGUAUAUCUUCAAGGUAGGCCUCCCAGGUGGGUCAGUGUAAAGAAUCUGCCUGUAAUGCAGUAGACUGGGAUUCGAUUCCUAGAUCUGGAGGAUCCCCUGGAGGAAGAAAUGGCAAUCCCUCCAGUGUUCAUUUUUUUUUUUAAAUCCUCCAGUAUCCUUGCCUGGAAAAUCCGAUGGGCAGAGGAGCCUACUGGGCUACAGGCUAUAGGGUCACAACGACAAUAUCUUCAAGGUAAAUUCCUAGAAGUUGGAUUGCUAGGGCAAAAGGUAAAGACAAACAUAGUUUUGUUAGUAAGGACUGAUCCCUCUCUGUAAGUGUUGUACCAGUUUGCAUUCCCACUGGCAGAAUAUGAGAGGGCCUGUUUCCCGCUGCUUCACCAACAGACUACCUUGCGGUGCUUUUCCAUUUUGGCUAACCUCAUAGGUCAGGAAUGUUACUACAGUGUAGCUCUUUUGUGUGUGGUAAAGUGCACAUGAAUGUAAAUUUUACCAUUUAAACUAAUUUCUGAAUGUACAAUUCCGUGGCAUUAAAUACAUUCAUGGUGUUGUGCGACCAUCACCACUAUCCAUUUCCAGAACUUUUUCAUCCCCCAAACUAAAACUCUGUACUCGUUAAACAGUAACUUCUUCCUACCCCCCAGCUUUUGGUAAACUCUACUCUAUUUUCUCUCUAUGAAUUUGUCUAUUCUGACUGAAACUGUCCACCCUGGCCAGGCACCACAGUUACCAUUGGCAUGAGUUAUUCUACAACAGGAGAUCCUAAUAAGGAACAUGAAACUAACAAGCCACCUCCAAACAAAAGAACUAGCAAAAGGUCAAAAGGAGACACCAGUCCACGUGUCCUCCCAGAAUCCUUCUUCCUGGAAUCCAGCUUGGCUGAGCGACGCGCUCGCCACCAAGAAGCACCCUGAGUCAGAAGGACUAACCCCAUCACCAUAAACCCCGAGACUGCAAACCUCGAGACCCCUGAGUUCUCUUCCCUUGCGGCUCUCUGCCCAGACACCCCUCCUCAGUAAAGUCUCUUGCUUUGCCAGCAUGUGUGUCUCCUCAGACAAUUCACUUCUGAGUGUUAGACAAGAGCCCACUGUCGGGCCCUAGAAGGGGACCCCUCCCUGCAUCAGUUCUAGGUUCCUCAUUGCUCGAUCGGCCCUCAAGACAGCCAUUCUCUGCUCUCUGUGCAUGCCUUCUCUGGCCAGCGCCUGCUUCACUUGCAUCUUAAGCAUGACUGACCUCGCCCCAGGCCCCAGCUACUGAUUGUUCUUAUGAAAGGGACACUAAGGAGUGUGCCUGGGAGCCAAGGCUGCCACUUUGUCCUGCCCACUGUCAACCCCACAUGGUGAGGUGGUUGCUCCAGGACCUUGCUCAGACAUGUAAGUGAAAAUUGCUCACUUGUGUCCAAUUCUUAGCACCUCCAUGGACUGUAUAGCCUGCCAGGCUCCCCAUCCAUGGACUUUUCCUGGAAAGAAUACUGAAGUGGGUAGUCAUUUCCUUCGCAAGGGGAUCUUCCCAACCCAGGGAUCAAACCCAGGUCUCCUGCAUUAAGAUUCUUUACUGUCUGAGCCACCAGGGAAGGCCUGCUCAGAUGUGUUAAGAUCCCCCUGUUCAUUAAACCAUUGAUGUCUCUGUUGCCAAUCCAGGCUGUUUCUGCAUUCUUAAAGCUGGGAAAGUGUAUUAGGCCCACUGUGCGCACCCCAGCACUCACAGGGUGGAGUCUAUCUGUCCUUUCACACCCAGCUUAUUGUACUAAGCUUAAUACAUAAUGUUUCUAAGGUUUAUGUUGUAGCAUGUGUCAGCAUUUCGUUCUUUUUUUUAUGAUAGUAAUAUCCCGUUGAAUAUAUAUAUACCACAUUUUGUUUACCCGUGCAUUCACUGAUGGACUUUUGAGUUGUUUCCACAUUGUGGCUAUUGGGAAUAGUGCUGCUGUGACCAUUAGUAUGCGGGUUACCGUGGGGACAAGUGUUUUCAUUUCUGGACUACAGACAGUCUCCUCUCCAGGCUCCCAGCCUCUGGGCUUCCCCUCCAAUCUUCCUGAAACCUCCUAAAAGAUUUUUUUUUUCUUUUAAAAUUGUAUUUAUUUAUUUAUUUUUGGCCUUGUUGGGUCUUGGUUGCUGCUCGGGUUUUUUUCUAGUUGCAGUGAGUGGGGGCUACUCACUAGUUGCGGUGCUCUGGCUUCUCAUUGCAGUGGCUUCUCUUGUUGUGGCUCCUGGGCUCUAGAGCACAGGCUCAGCAGUUUUGCCGCUUGGGCUCAGUUGCUCCACAGCUUAUGGGAUCUUCCCAGAUCAGGGAUCAAACCCGCGUCUCCUGCAAUGGUAGGCAGAUUCUUUACCCCUGAGCCACCAGGAAAGUCCCCAAAAAGAUUUCUUUCUUUUUCUUUGAAACGUAAUUUGUAUCCUACAGUGUAGUGUGUUGACUGGUGGCCCCCCCAAACUUCGUGUUCAUCUGGGAUCUCAGAAUGUGACUUUGUUUAGAGCAAGGGGCUUGGCAGAGGUCACCAGUGAAGGAUCUCCAGACGAAAUCACCAUGAGUUGAGAGAGGAGACAGAUGCACAGGAGAAAAGGCCUUAUGGAGAUGAAGGCAGAGAUAAGAGGGAUGCAAACACAAACCAAGGGAUGCCAGCAGCCAUCAGAUACUGGGAGAGGCUGGGAGAUGCCUCCCUCAGGGCCUCUGGAAGGGUGGGAGACUCUGCAAUGGUUCGAGUUAGGACUUCUGGCCUCCAGAUUGCAGGAGACAAAUUCCUGUUGUUUUGAGCCACAUCGUUUGUGGCAAUUUGUUAUGGCAGCCCUGGGAAGCUCACGCAUACAGGUAAGCCACAGACCAGGAUGCACUGUGCUCCCCAGCCCUUUCUUCUCUGGGUGGAUGCUCUCUGCAACUUGGGGGUUUCUAGAGCUUUUUCAAAGCACUACCUUUAUUUCUUAGCAGUUGAGGCUUCAUGAAAAUUCAAAUGAAGUAUGACACAUUUUUAAUCUUAAAAAAUGCUGAGGGAAAAAAAAACCCUAAACACUGAAAAUAAAAGACCAACCAAUCACAAUCCCAUCACUUAAAAAUUACAAAUGUAUUUCAUAAAAAUAUAAACCUUUUACAUAUUUUUUAUUUUAUAAAAGACCAAUCAAAAUCCUAUCACUUAAAAAUUAUAGCAUAUAACAAAAAUACAUUUAUAUUUUUAAAAUAAGCAUAUUUUAUAAAAUAUAAAUGUAUUUUAUAAAAAUAUACAUAUUUUAUAAAAAUGCAAACAUUCUUUAUAAAAAUGUAAACGUAUUUUACAAAAAAUAUAAAGUGGCACUCCCUCAGCUGGUACCCCACACGGCAGAGCCCUCAGAGCAUUGGUGGGAGCCACUCCCUGGAGAGGCCACAGAGCAUGAUGCCAGCUGAAGGUCAGAAGGAGACAUCCGUGCAUGCAUAGUAUUGGCACAAAUUCAUAAUAUAAAAAAAAUGGGAAAAACCUAAAUGCCCAUCUAUAGGAUAGAUAGAAGUAAUGGUGAAAAAACCUUGCAUUAAAAGAGCAACUCUGUUCUCCUGGUUGUCAAGGCACAUGCAUCAUGCAGGCUGUAUUUUCUGCCAACAUAGGAAAGUAGAUGACACGGGUGGUGGGUGGUGAAUGGUAAGAUAAGUGGCAUUUUGUAUGUGUCAGAGACUCGGGGCCUCCCCCUACAGCACCUGUCCCCAGGAAGCCUCAGGCUUCCUCCUGCUAGCUAGCCCUCCCCAGGACACAGCCCUCCCCAAGUCACUGCCCUCCCAAGACCAAUUGUCACCUCCUCCAGGAAGUCUCCCAGGACUGAAGGCUCCUGGCUGGGACCUCCCAGAGUAAACGUCUGCUGCCAAAACUAUUGGCUACAGCGACUCUGAUCAGUAGGAGCUGGAGGCUACUGAGUGGGUAGGGACUGGACUUGCAGCUGUGUUUACGCAGGAGCUCAGCCUCCUCUCCAAAGGGCUCCAAGUUACCGGGUCUUUGGCCCCAUUUUCUGAGCCUGUGGCCUACCGCUUCUCCAUGGCUCCUUUACCAGCUAUGUGGGAAGCUCGCCCAGAUGCUGGGCGCUCCCUCCCCCUCAUCUGCACACAUAGAGCCCUGAGUUGUCUCACAGCUGGUACCUUUAAAAGCUUUUGUUGCUUAGCAGGAGAAAGAGAACAAUGGAACAAACCAUUGCUUCCCAGUGGCGGUAGUGGUAAAGAACCCGCCUGCCAAUACAGGAGAUGUAAGAGACGCAGGUUUGAUCUCUGGGUUGAGAAAAUCCUCUGGAGAGGGGCACGACAAUCCACUCUAGUAUUCUUGCCUGGAGAAUCCCUUGGACAGAGGAGCCUGGCGGACUACGGCCCAUAGGGGUCGCAAAGAGUCGGCCACGACUUAUCAACUACGCAUGCGUGAUCUCAGAAACAUGUUUUCCGGGAAGCUAGUGCUUCUCUAAAAAGCCCUGGUGGUGCGGUGCGGUGCACAGGAGGGAGGAGAAAGCAAAUAGCACUCCCAAGUCCAUUUGCGGGUCUGGCCGAGUUAGAGCUGAGAGUCGGAGAGGAGAGAGCUCGGCUUCCUUCAAAAGGGGUGAACUCAUACCUUGAGAAGAUGACUGGCUUGAAAAGUGGGAUAAUCUUCGUCAUGGUAAAGGGUUCUGUGUCUGUGGGUUUCAUGGCCGUAGGGUCUGCGGUGUGGGCCGUUGGACUAGUAGCGGUCGCUGGGAUGGCCCUUUACGCCUGGAAGAGGAGCACUGAAACAUCAUGCCCUAAGAGGUCCUAGGUUGACCACAGGUAAAAAUGAACAAGAACCCUAAAAUGUAUUGAAAGGAAUCUUCUCCCAGCCCCCUGCAGACUGGAGGAUCCACCUUCCUGGGGUCAGGAAUCCUUUGAAGCAACAUUUUAUCUUUGGGGUUUGAACAAAAUCAACUUGUGGGCAUAAAAAUAAAUUUGUUGAACACACA